rnacentral:rRNA from 1 species
AACGAACGCUGGCGGCAUGCCUAACACAUGCAAGUCGAACGAGACCUUCGGGUCUAGUGGCGCACGGGUGCGUAACGCGUGGGGAUCUGCCCUUUGCUUCGGAAUAACAGUUAGAAAUGACUGCUAAUACCGGAUGAUGUCGUAAGACCAAAGAUUUAUCGGCAAAGGAUGAACCCGCGUAGGAUUAGCUAGUUGGUGGGGUAAAGGCCUACCAAGGCGACGAUCCUUAGCUGGUCUGAGAGGAUGAUCAGCCACACUGGGACUGAGACACGGCCCAGACUCCUACGGGAGGCAGCAGUGGGGAAUAUUGGACAAUGGGCGAAAGCCUGAUCCAGCAAUGCCGCGUGAGUGAUGAAGGCCUUCGGGUUGUUAAAGCUCUUUUACCAGGGAUGAUAAUGACAGUACCUGGAGGAAUAAGACUCCGGCGUAACUCCGUGCCAGCAGCCGCGGUAA